GUUGGCUUGAGUGUCAAAAUUUAAAACAGGCCUUGGCUUCAGAGUCACAUUCGCAGCGAGAGGCUUCUUGGAGUUCUGUGCAGGGGAAGCGUUCCUCUUUGAAGGUGCCAAGCCCUGAAACCUCUGAAAUGAUGACAGACUGGUCUGAAAUUGAACCCUGAAGGAUGGUUAAGAGAUGUGUGUGUCUGAAUUCUUCACCCAGUCCAAAAGCCACCAAGGAGAAGGAGGCUGCAAUUUGUGAUCUGAGCCAUUUAGAGUUGCUAAAUGUCAUUUGGAUCAUGGAAAUAUGAUCCACAAAUGGAAAUAAAGUCAUUGGUGACAUCUAGUUAGGUUGCAAGGCCAUACGCAAAAAAAAUGAAGACGUUAAUGGACUGGAAGUUUCAACCGCCAGGUAAAAAGUCUUGAAGCAGCAGUUGGAAGAGAAGAAAUCAGAAUGAUCCCUUCUGAACAUUUCUGGGCAAAUAAAUAAUACCAUAUCUGAACACUUAUGAAAAUCCCCAUUGAGAUGAAAGAGGCCAAACUCACUGUCGGGCACGUUGUGAUAUUUCAAGAGAGAUGCUCUUUUGUCCAAGGCAUCCUAUGUGGCAUCAACACCUAGGAGUAAGAAGUCUAUAUGAGAAUUCCAUCCAGAUUCACGGGACAUUUCUAAAAUUGAUUUUCACCAAUUUCCAUCAUCUUCAUUUUUAUCAUCAUCAUCAUCAUCAUCAUCAUCAUCAUCAUCAUCAUCAUCAUCAUCAUUCCGUUUUUCCAAGCAGAAACAGAACUGUUCUAUUUUUGCAAACACUUCUCUUUCCAUUAUUUACCCAUUAUUGAGUCAAUGUUAACAUUAAAAGAAAAAUGUUGGUUUUUGUUAUUUCACUUUGCUUAAUUUGACCUACAAUUUUGCCACCAGAGUGAAUGUGUCAUUAAUUAAUAACAAUUUUAGAAUUAAAUGAAUGCUGAGUUUCAUCUGAAGUCAAUCAUUUCAGCUAAAAAUAAAUUUAAUCAAGUUGCACCU
rnacentral:lncRNA from 11 species